AGUGGAACUCCAUGUGUAGCGGUGGAAUGCGUAGAUAUAUGGAAGAACACCAGUGGCGAAGGCGGCUGUCUAGUCUGUAACUGACGCUGAGGCUCGAAAGCAUGGGUAGCGAACAGGAUUAGAUACCCUGGUAGUCCAUGCCGUAAACGAUGAGUGCUAAGUGUUGGAGGGUUUCCGCCCUUCAGUGCUGCAGCUAACGCAUUAAGCACUCCGCCUGGGGAGUACGACCGCAAGGUUGAAACUCAAAGGAAUUGACGGGGGCCCGCACAAGCGGUGGAGCAUGUGGUUUAAUUCGAAGCUACGCGAAGAACCUUACCAGGUCUUGACAUCUUCUGCCAAUCUUAGAGAUAAGACGUUCCCUUCGGGGACAGAAUGACAGGUGGUGCAUGGUUGUCGUCAGCUCGUGUCGUGAGAUGUUGGGUUAAGUCCCGCAACGAGCGCAACCCUUAUUAUCAGUUGCCAGCAUUCAGUUGGGCACUCUGGUGAGACUGCCGGUGACAAACCGGAGGAAGGUGGGGAUGACGUCAAAUCAUCAUGCCCCUUAUGACCUGGGCUACACACGUGCUACAAUGGACGGUACAACGAGUCGCGAAGUCGUGAGGCUAAGCUAAUCUCUUAAAGCCGUUCUCAGUUCGGAUUGUAGGCUGCAACUCGCCUACAUGAAGUUGGAAUCGCUAGUAAUCGCGGAUCAGCAUGCCGCGGUGAAUACGUUCCCGGGCCUUGUACACACCGCCCGUCACACCAUGAGAGUUUGUAACACCCAAAGCCGGUGAGAUAACCUUCGGGAGUCAGCCGUCUAAGGUGGGACAGAUGAUUAGGGUGAAGUCGUAACAAGGUAGCCGUAGGAGAACCUGCGGCUGGAUC
rnacentral:rRNA from 1 species